GACGAACGCUGGCGGCGUGCUUAACACAUGCAAGUCGAACGAAGAGCGAUGGAAGCUUGCUUCUAUCAAUCUUAGUGGCGAACGGGUGAGUAACGCGUAAUCAACCUGCCCUUCAGAGGGGGACAACAGUUGGAAACGACUGCUAAUACCGCAUACGGUCUAAUCUCGGCAUCGAGGAUAGAUGAAAGGUGGCCUCUACAUGUAAGCUAUCACUGAAGGAGGGGAUUGCGUCUGAUUAGCUAGUUGGAGGGGUAACGGCCCACCAAGGCGAUGAUCAGUAGCCGGUCUGAGAGGAUGAACGGCCACAUUGGGACUGAGACACGGCCCAGACUCCUACGGGAGGCAGCAGUGGGGAAUCUUCCGCAAUAGACGAAAGUCUGACGGAGCAACGCCGCGUGAGUGAUGACGGCCUUCGGGUUGUAAAGCUCUGUUAAUCGGGACGAAAGGCCUUCUUGCGAAUAGUGAGAAGGAUUGACGGUACCGGAAUAGAAAGCCACGGCUAACUACGUG
rnacentral:rRNA from 1 species